GUUGUCGCAGUGGGAUUCCCUGGGGCCGGGAAGUCCACCUUUCUCAAGAAGCACCUCGUGUCGGCCGGAUAUGUCCACGUGAACAGGGACACGCUAGGCUCCUGGCAGCGCUGUGUGACCACGUGUGAGACAGCCCUGAAGCAAGGGAAACGGGUCGCCAUCGACAACACAAACCCAGACGCCGCGAGCCGCGCCAGGUAGCGUGACCGCGGGGCCGUAGGUGGCCUGCGGCGGGGUGGGCGGGGCCUGCACAUCCAGCUCCUUCCCCCACAGGUACGUCCAGUGUGCCCGAGCCGCGGGCGUCCCCUGCCGCUGCUUCCUCUUCACCGCCACUCUGGAGCAGGCGCGCCACAACAACCGGGUGAGCCCGCUCAGCCCGGACACCCCCCGGGCUGCACCCCCUGACCCCCCUCCUCCCCUGACCCCUGGGCCUGCCGCCCCUCUGAUGUUCCCCACAGUUUCGAGAGAUGACGGACUCCUCUCAUAUCCCCGUGUCAGACAUGGUCAUGUAUGGCUACAGGAAGCAGUUCGAGGCCCCAACGCUGGCUGAAGGCUUCUCUGCCAUCCUGGAGAUCCCGUUCCGGCUAUGGGUGGAGCCGAGGCUGGGG
rnacentral:lncRNA from 1 species